rnacentral:misc_RNA from 1 species
AAAACCAAACAAUAGGGACUUUUUAAUCUAUUUGCCAAAAUAGACGGAUGGAAGUGUUAAUGAUGGCAAGCAUAGGGACUAAAUGGUAAUUUACCCAUGUUUCUAACCAUCCCUUUAUAAACUCUGUUUCUACAAUUUGAAGAUUCAAUGUGUUUUUCCUUGAAAUUUAUGUUCUUACACUUGUAUACAGUCCCUUUCCACGUUU